rnacentral:rRNA from 1 species
GACGAACGCUGGCGGCGUGCCUAAUACAUGCAAGUUGAGCGCUGAAGGUUGGUACUUGUACCAACUGGAUGAGCAGCGAACGGGUGAGUAACGCGUGGGGAAUCUGCCUUUGAGCGGGGGACAACAUUUGGAAACGAAUGCUAAUACCGCAUAAAAACUUUAAACACAAGUUUUAAGUUUGAAAGAUGCAAUUGCAUCACUCAAAGAUGAUCCCGCGUUGUAUUAGGUAGUUGGUGAGGUAAAGGCUCACCAAGGCGAUGAUACAUAGCCGACCUGAGAGGGUGAUCGGCCACAUUGGGACUGAGACACGGCCCAAACGGCUACGGGAGGCAGCAGGAGGGAAUCUUCGGCAAUGGGCGAAAGUCUGACCGCGCAACGCCGCGGGAGGGAAGAAGGUUGUCGGGUCGUAAAACUCUGUUGGUAGGGAAGAACGUGGGUGAGAGUGGAAAGCUCAUCAAGUGACGGUAACUACCCAGAAAGGGACGGCUAACUACGUG